GCCUCGAUCCGCGGUUGUUCCCGCCGGAGAUGGAUGGAUCCCGCCGGCGGCGGCGCCCGGAGCCGUCCGGUCUCUGCCUCUCUCCCUCCCUUUCGCGUGGUGUUCGAGCGGCGAUCGCAUCGCCGGCGGCGGCAAAGUAACAGUAAAGCGUCGAGAUUACUUUCAAGUGGUCUCUAUCGGAUCAAUUUGGCAUUGCUCACGAGGAUUUGCUGCUGUGUCGUCUUUUGUCGCCACAUUUUUUUCUUGCCCCUUGUCAAGAAACUAAACAUGUUCCAAGGAUGCAAUCAGGUAUGAACAAGACUAAGGUUUAUUUA